ACUCCUACGGGAGGCAGCAGUGGGGAAUAUUGCACAAUGGGCGCAAGCCUGAUGCAGCCAUGCCGCGUGUGUGAAGAAGGCCUUCGGGUUGUAAAGACACUUUCAGCAGUGAGGAAGGCGGAGUCGUUAAUAGCGGCCUCGUUUGACGUUAGCUGCAGAAGAAGCACCGGCUAACUCCGUGCCAGCAGCCGCGGUAAUACGGAGGGUGCGAGCGUUAAUCGGAAUUACUGGGCGUAAAGCGCAUGCAGGUGGUUUGUUAAGUCAGAUGUGAAAGCCCGGGGCUCAACCUCGGAAUAGCAUUUGAAACUGGCAGACUAGAGUACUGUAGAGGGGGGUAGAAUUUCAGGUGUAGCGGUGAAAUGCGUAGAGAUCUGAAGGAAUACCGGUGGCGAAGGCGGCCCCCUGGACAGAUACUGACACUCAGAUGCGAAAGCGUGGGAGCAAAC
rnacentral:rRNA from 1 species